AUUGAACGCUGGCGGCAGGCCUAACACAUGCAAGUCGAGCGGAUGAAGAGAGCUUGCUCUCUGAUUUAGCGGCGGACGGGUGAGUAAUGCCUAGGAAUCUGCCUGGUAGUGGGGGAUAACGUUCCGAAAGGAACGCUAAUACCGCAUACGUCCUACGGGAGAAAGCAGGGGACCUUCGGGCCUUGCGCUAUCAGAUGAGCCUAGGUCGGAUUAGCUAGUUGGUGAGGUAAUGGCUCACCAAGGCGACGAUCCGUAACUGGUCUGAGAGGAUGAUCAGUCACACUGGAACUGAGACCCGGUCCAGACUCCUACGGGAGGCAGCAGUGGGGAAUAUUGGACAAUGGGCGAAAGCCUGAUCCAGCCAUGCCGCGUGUGUGAAGAAGGUCUUCGGAUUGUAAAGCACUUUAAGUUGGGAGGAAGGGCAGUAAGUUAAUACCUUGCUGUUUUGACGUUACCGACAGAAUAAGCACCGGCUAACUCCGUGCCAGCCGCCGCAGUAAAAC
rnacentral:rRNA from 1 species